rnacentral:rRNA from 1 species
UACGUAGGGGGCAAGCGUUGUCCGGAAUCAUUGGGCGUAAAGAGCGUGUAGGCGGCCAGGUAGGUCUGCUGUGAAAACUCGAGGCUCAACCUCGAGACGUCGGCGGAAACCAUCUGGCUAGAGUCCGGAAGAGGAGAGUGGAAUUCCUGGUGUAGCGGUGAAAUGCGUAGAGAUCGGGAGGAACAUCCGUGGCGAAGGCGACUACCUGGACCAGCACUGACACUGAGGCACGAAAGCGUGGGGAGCAAGCAGG